rnacentral:tRNA from 2 species
GGAGAGAUGCCAGAGCUGGUUGAAUGGGGCGGUCUCGAAAACCGUUGAGCAGUUUAUCUGCUCCGGGGGUUCGAAUCCCUCUCUCUCCGCCA